rnacentral:rRNA from 1 species
CCCGCUGAACUUAAGCAUAUCAAUAAGCGGAGGAAAAGAAACUAACAAGGAUUCCCCUAGUAACUGCGAGUGAAGCGGGAAAAGCUCAAAUUUAAAAUCUGGCGGCUCUUUGCCGUCCGAGUUGUAAUUUAGAGAAGCGUCUUCCGCGCCGGACCGUGCACAAGUCUCCUGGAAUGGAGCGUCAUAGAGGGUGAGAAUCCCGUCUUUGGCAUGGAUCCCUGGUGCUUCUGUGAUGCGCUCUCGAAGAGUCGAGUUGUUUGGGAAUGCAGCUCAAAAUGGGUGGUGAACUCCAUCUAAAGCUAAAUAUUGGCGAGAGACCGAUAGCGAACAAGUACCGUGAGGGAAAGAUGAAAAGCACUUUGGAAAGAGAGUGAAACAGUACGUGAAAUUGUUGAAAGGGAAACGCUUGAAGUCAGUCGCGUCGACCGAGACUCAGCCUUGCCUUGGCUUGGUGUACUUCUCGGCCCGACGGGUCAGCAUCAAUUUUUGCCCCUCGAUAUNNGNCAAGGAAAGGUGGCACCUUUACGGGUGUGUUAUAGUCUCCUGUCGCAUGCGAGGGGUGGGAUUGAGGAACUCAGCACGCGCCUCGGUGUCGGGGCUUCGGCCCACGUUCACGUGCUUAGGAUGUUGGCGUAAUGGCUUUAAACGACCCGUCUUGAAACACGG